rnacentral:lncRNA from 1 species
GGAUGCGUAAAAAAAUCGAAGGCAGCAACUCAAAAAUAGAUGAAUGUUGGAAGGAAGAUGUAUAAGGCUGAGAGGAAAUGGCAUCUUGAGGUUUGUUACCCUUCAACUUAUAGACAUAUAUGCUCAGUUAUUGUUGUGUAACAUAGAGUUACCCUGGAUGUAAAUGCUCCUUCUCUUGUGUAUUUCAGUUCAACAAUUGGUGGUUCUUCAGGUCACUUUAGCGUGCAUUUUCAGUACAACUUCUAGGCGAGGAGGACGACAGUGACGACUCCUUCAGAUUUUUUCUGUGUUGCUACAUC